CGCCCUUCACGCUCCACUUUCCUUCUUUACUUCCGCCUCCAUGCGAGGCCUGCUCGUCGAAGCCGUGUCCGGCACCGCCUCUGCCCCGGCUAUAAAGGCGCGCCCUUUGGCCGGCCCGCUCCUCCUCCUCUCUUCGUGCGCGCCGCGCCUCUCGCCUCCUCGCCGCGCUAUGCCUGGUCCGCUCCUCCUCCUCUCUUCGACCGGGCCACGCCUUCGCCCUCCUCGCCGCGCUCUGACCGGUCUGCGCGACUGCGCCUCCUCCACUCUUCGUCCGGGCCGAGCCUUUCUCCUCCUCGCCGCGCUCGGGCCGGUCUGCUGCUCCUCCACUCUUCGUCCGGGUCGUGCCGUUCUCCUCCUCGCCACGCUCUGCCCUCUGCCCGGUUUGCUCCUCCUCCUCCUCCUCUCUUCGUCCGGGUUUGCCUGCCUCGUCCUCCUCGAGUCGCAUUUUAUCUUGCUCGUCCUCGCUCGAUCGAUUCGACCGUUUAGAAUCGCUGGAUUUGGUUUUGCUCGUCCUCGCCGUCGCCAGAUUAGAUAGAGAAUCCCACCUGAUUUGAUUUUGCUCGUUCUCGCCGCCGUUCGUCCGUGUAGAGUCGCGUCUGAUUUCACUUUGCUCGUGCUCGAUUCGUCAGUUUAGAAUCGCUUCUGAUAUGAUUCCGUUCGUCCUCGCCGUCGUCAGUUUAGAGUCGCGUCUGAUUUGAUUCUGCCCGUCCUCAUCGUCGCCCCGAUGCGCUCGCGUGUUCUUGGUCCGUCUCGUCGAGGGUCUCCGUCUGGUUUGCGACUGAAAAGUUUCUGUGUGCGCUUCUGUUAUCUGAGAGACACUUUGCCUUUGGGUCAUGCGUUUCGUGUUCGUGUCAGCGCGAGUGUUACAGGAACGGUCGGGUCUUGGUUUUGAAAUUGGAUUAUGGGCGGAGAUGGGGAGACAGGGAGCAAUUAUUAUUUUGUCGUGCUAGUUCAGCUCGGUUCCUAGUCCAUGUCACCUUUUGCCUUGUUCAUCAGUUUUUUCAGAUCUCAAACGACUAUGCUUGUUCGUGUUCGUCCGUCAGAGAUGUGCCCUUUGAUAAUCUGGUUCCUCUGUCGAUUCUGUGAUUGUGCCGGCUAGCUUGUUUCACUUUGGGCAGGCGUGUGUGCUCUCAUCCCAGAUGCAGGGGUGAUUCCUUACGGUUCUUCUGAUGGGUGUUACUGCUUCUGCUCUUUUCAAUCCGUUAUUACUUCCAAUCAUGCUUUGCUUAUGUUCCCAUAUAUGGUGAUGUGUGUUCAAGGGUGCAAAUCAUGUAGGCCGUGGGUGCCAUUUCUUGCAGGCAGGCAGAGCAGAGUGCAAACCAUGUGGCCUGCUGCCUGACUAAUUGAACACCUGCUGCUGCUACUGUUGGACAAGGUUUCCUCCUGUUGCUAUUUCCAUUUUCAUACGAGUACUAGAUGAGGUGCUGCUAGUUAGUCCCCCCUACACUUCGUUCUAGAUUGCAUAGCAUAACUCCAGAAUUAUUUCAUUGACACCUGGGCAUAUAAUUCUGUUGUGAGCGGAAUUUAUUUAUCUGUGAAAGCACGUUCAUCACAUGUUUUUUAUCAAUGCUGCUCACUUUUGUCAUGUCCCUUUUGUUUGUCCUGUUAAAUUUUAUGGCAUCAACUUGGAGCAAAUUUUUUUACUCACUGGUUAAAAUAUCGAGAAUGCUGACUUCUGUAUUUGUCGCUAUGUAAGCCAUGCACUUGUGAAGCCUGGGCGUGAUUAGGAUUUGGAUUGCAUAUAGAUUUUAUGCUAUGUUUGUUUAUAACCUGGUUGUGAUCUAAUAUACUGUAAAUCUGCUAAUUUUUUAAUUUAAUUUAUGUUCAACGCAAGUAAACAUUUAUUUAGCCAAAUUUUGCUACUUCUGAGAACUUUGUUUUUAGAUGUGUUGUAGCCAUAACUGCCUAUUCUGAUAUUUGCAUGGAUCUUUCUAUAUAAGGUCAUUGGCAUGUCAUGUUGUGACCUACAUACCUUUGUGGUUGGCAGUAUCUUUGCCCUUUGAUUCUGCUUUUCCUUGCUGUUGUCCGUUUGGAUAGAGUCGCUUUUGAUUAGAUUUUUAUCGUCCUCGCUGUUGCCCUGAUGCGCUCGCAUGUUCUUGGGUCGUCUCGUCUCGGGAUCUGUCUGGUUUGUGAACUAAAAUUUCUCUUUGAGAAAUUUCUACGUCUGUUUCUGUUAUCUGAGACAUUCCAGAUCAUGUGUUCUGUGUUCGCGUCGGCGUGAGGGUUGUAAGAACGAUCGGGUCUAGUUUCGAAAUUGGAGGGACCAAUGUCAGUUUGUCGUGCUAGUUCAAAUCGGUUUCACUUUCUGGAACUUCUUUAUAGCUUUCUGAAUUUAUACUUCGGUCUUGCAUGUAGCUUUCUGUUUGUACCCCUAUCUAUGUUUGUUUGUGUAUGUGUGAUGUGCCCCUAUAUAUGUAUGUUUCUUUGUCCUCUUCAUAUGUGCAAGCGCUCCAUUGGCUGUGUGUGACUGUGUGGUUGACUGUUGUGCUUAGAUGGGGUGAUUCUGAUUGUGUUACUGCUUAUAUGGUCUGUCCAAUUGGUUUCUUCUUCAUGCUUUGCUUGUGUUCCAAUGUCGUCUCCCCAUUAUAUGGGAUGCAAACCAUGUAGGCCGUUUCGAGCAGGCAGGGAUCCAGAGACGUGCACUGGUCAGGCUUCUCUCCUGUUGAUAGAUGAUGAUAGGCUAAGCAGGAAAGUUUGACUCUUGUAACACUCACUUGCUUGGCUUCCACUCCUUUGUGUGGCCGAUUUGGCAUCCAAUGCAUCCCAUGCCUAUCUUAUUUAUCUCACUCACUCAUCACAACACCCGUUUCCCUGUUUUUGUUCCUUAUUUUUCUUAUCAUAAUAAUCAUGUUUACCGUGGUGUUUGACAAUACAGUUUUUGUGAUAUCUAUGUUUCGUUAUGUCUUAUGUGGAUAUCAUAUUCUUUUUUUGUAUUAUUGAUGUCCAGUCAUUGGAAUAAUGCUUUUUCUAAGUAUUUCAGGUAGGAUAUAGACAAAUGUCACAUUUGCUCUUCCUUGUGUUGCUAAGGACACUGAUGGGUUGGGUUUGCUUACAGCGCGGGACAGAUAAUUCUAUUGGAAUAUUUCUUUGAGAAAGAAGUUAGAUGUCUAUGGCACCAGCAAUAUUUUGGCAAUUCCAAGACUAAUUGGUCAUGAUGACUUCAAGCAUAAAUAGAAGACAGCUGAUUCUGAGGGCCAUCUUGAUCUGAACAGCUCAUUAUUCUAAUUUUAGCUCACCUCUACAGUCAUACAAACUGGCAUGCCGAGGACUGCUCAGGGUUCCUUUCGCUUUCUGUUUUACCAACCGAGGUAAUCAAAUUUGAUCUUCAGCUUGCAAAUUUAUAACCUUAUGGGAGGGAAAGGUUUGCAUGUACAUGAACUCUGAUUAUCUACAUAUAUACUUGAAUUUCUUUGGAUUUGUUGGACUACUACUAUUCUACAUGAUGUUCUCCAUGAUUCAUUUGAUUUGUUGAUUUUAUUAUUUUCCUAGCGGGCUCUUUAGGUUCAUCUUGUGACACAAAAUACAAUAUUGGUACGUGCAGACUCUGAAAUUUGGUGAUAAAGAAAAGGUACCUCCUAAUUUGCUCUGUCUCUCUUACACUUGUCUUUGUUUAUAUAACAGUAGUGACCUCCUGGCUUGUAGUUGGGUAAUGCAGAGAGAGAUUUGGAAUUGAAGCUAUAUAAACUAAAAUAAUGCAGAGUUGAAGGUUUUGAACGGGAAGCUUGAACAAUCAGUUUACUUUUUCUCAUGUCUUCGAUUAGUUUCAUCCUAUCUUUGUCUGUUUCUUGUGUGCAAGCACUCCAUUGUGUCUGACUGUGUGUGACCAUGACUCUGCGUGUGUGACUGACUGUUUGUGUGUGUGACUGACUGUAUGUGUAUGUAUUUCUUUGUCUGUUUCUUGUGUGCAAGCGCUCCAUUGUGUCUGUGUGUGUGUGUGUCUGUGUUGACUGUGACUGUGUGUCAUUUUAUGACUGACUGUGUGUGUGUGUUUGUGUGUUGACUGUGACUGUGACUGUGACUGUGUCAUUGUGCAAGCGCUCCAUAAUUACCUAUUGGCACCUCAUAAUGCAUGGAUAUUUCUGUAUAAUAAGGUCAUGGGCAUGUCAUUUUUUGACCUACAUACCUUGUAGUUGGUAGUACCAUUGCCCUUUGGACAUUCUUCAAUGCAUUGCUCUAUAUUUUCCUGCAUCAAGUAUGAUGAUUGUGCUUAGAAUGUGUAGAAUCCAGGGGUGGAUGGAGGUUUUCAUGAUGGCUAAUUUGUUUUGUUGUAUGGUUGUUCUGAUGGUGUGCUUCUGGUGUUUGAACUGAAGCCGUAGAUUUCCUAUCAACUUGGUCUGUGUUUGUAUGCUGAAUUAUUUCCGGAUAGGACAGAGGUGCAGUGUUUACAUCCAUGGCACAAGGUUAUUUAACAGUGUAUGUAUCUACCUUCGCAGCUGAAUUAUUUCCGGGUAGGACAGAGAUGCAGUGUUUACAUCCAUGGCAGAAGGUUCUUUAACAGUGCAUCAAACGUCCUUGGACUCAAGAGGAAGAUGACAAAAUUAUUGACCUUGUAAACAACUAUGGACCACCAGAAUGAUCUCAUUGCAAGGUCAGCUACCAGAACUUCUUGCAGCUGAUCCUGGGAUGUUUCUGAACAUGCUCCCAAACAUGUUCAAUUUAUCCGCCCUAGGACAGCCACUGCCAUGACACAGCAGGCUACUCGGCAUGCUCGGCGUGUUUACCUCGGUGGACUUCCUCCAAUCGCUAAUGAACAGACGGUUGCUCUAUUCUUCAAUCAAGUUAUGACCGCUAUUGGGGGAGACACAUUUGAUCCAGGUGAUGCAGUUCUUAAUAUGAAGCUGAUUUUUGAAUUCAUACAAAACAUCUUAGGUGGCAUAAUCAUCUAACUCUGUGUGUGUGACUGACUGACUGUGUGUGUCUGUGGCUGUGUAUGUUUUGUGUGUGUGACUGACUGUGUGUGUGUUCUAUGUCUUGUGUGUGUGACUGACUGUUCUUGUGUCUUGUGUGUGUGUGACUGACUGACUGUGUGUGUGACUGUGACUAUGUGUGUUGGCUGACUCUGCGUGUGACUGUCACUCUAUGUGUUGGCUGACUCUGUGUGUGACUGUGACUCUGUGUUGGCUGACUCUUUGUGUGACUGUGACUAUGUGUGUGUGAAUAUUGCAUUUGCUUGAUGGUGUGUCUUGUAUGCUUUGUGUGUCUUGUAUGCUUUGCGUGUCUUGUAUGCUUUGCUGAAUGAUUGG